GCAAGGACAUGUGGAGCGCUUAGAAGUGAGAAUGCCGGUGUGAGUAGCGAAAGACGGGUGAGAAUCCCGUCCACCGAUUGACUAAGGUUUCCAGAGGAAGGCUCGUCCGCGCUGGGUUAGUCGGGUCCUAAGCUGAGGCCGACAGGCGUAGGCGAUGGAUAACAGGUUGAUAUUCCUGUACCACCUAGCAUCGUUUUAAUCGAUGGGGGGACGCAGUAGGAUAGGCGAAGCGUACGAUUGGAUUGUACGUC
rnacentral:rRNA from 1 species